rnacentral:lncRNA from 1 species
AGCGAAUACAGAUGAAAGUCCUCUGUGUGCUUAGCAGUACUAAGUCAAUGUUUGACUUUAAUUAUUUUGCUCUAUGUUUGAGGGAAAAGGAGAGUGUGCAGUAAGAUUUAAAAAUAGUUCUCUCUGCAGUUGAAGAAAAUGAGUUUGAGAAAGGGAUGACUUUAGGUUUGUUAAAGAAUUUACUGAGGUGAACUUAUAGAGAUAUAAGAUUGGUGGUGAGAGGGUGGGGGAGAGGGGAGAUGAGGGAGAGAGAUAGAAAGGGAUAGGGAAGUUAAUUGUGAACUUAGAUUCUAGGACCACUGGAUUCCAUCCCCAGCACCUCAUAAGAUAGGCAUGGUGGCACACAACUGCAAUCCAAGAACGGGAGAGGUAGACUCAGGAAGGGCAGAAGUUCAAGGUCAUCCUCAGCUGCACAGUGAGUUCAAGACCAGCUCCUGUAGGUCAGGUCAACUGUUUCUGCGGGUGUCUGAAGCACCGUCUUGGCUCCAUUGCUCAUCCCUCCUCCCUCUCCACAACUGGAUUCCAGAAGUAUGGUUCAGUGCUUAGCUGUGGGUGCCUGUUUCUACUUUGACCAGCUACUAAAUGAAGGCUCUAGGAGUGGUAAUCAAGAGUUUGCUGUUUCCUGUAAGCAAUGUGGGUGUUCGCAUUGCUCUCCUUGCCCCCACCUAAAAUGGACUAUAUUCAGGAAAACAUGGAAGUCAGAAAACCACAUCUUCAAUGUGGGGGAAGCAAGCUGCUCCCAAUUACUCCAGUACUCAGUGGACAAGCCUGUGAGUGUAAGGGCAGCAUCAAGAGCUGCUGUCUUCUGGCAUCCUAAGUUGUGGACAUCCCUGUGGACUCUAAGGGAGCCCUAAAGAACUGAACAGAGAAAGAUGCAGGCCAAACACUCUGCAGGUCUCAUAUUAUGGGCUGGCAGGCCAUUGAAUUAUUAAAACAUCCUAUGAUUGUCACCAAUCUUUGCUUAUUCUUGAAACUUGUUAUUGCUUGCCAACAAACAGUUCUCACAGUAUCCUGAAGUCCCUAGUCACCAUGUGACAUGUAUCAGUGUCAUUCAGAGGCAAGUGGGGAGGGAGGAGAGAGUGGGAGGGAAGGAAGGAGGGAAAGAAGGAGGGAGGCAGGAAGGGAGGGAAGGAGAGAGAGGGAAAACUUGAGUUACAAUGAUGGUUAGUUUUAACCUUCAACUUGAGGCAAUCUGAGGUCACUUGGGAAGAGAGUUUCAACAAGCAAUUGUCUACAUUGGGUUGGCCUGUGGUUUGUGGUGGGUUAUCUUAAUUGAGGUGGGCAGGCCUGCCCAUUGUGGGUCCCGGGAUGUAAAAAUGUAGAGGAAGUGAGCUGAGUACUAAGCCUGAAUGCCCUCAUUCUCUCUCUGUCACUGAGGGUGUGGGUGUGACCAGCUCCUGCCACUGUGACUUGCCCCCAGUAGUAGACUGUAAGUAACCUGGAGUUGUGAGCGAAAAUAAACUUCCAUCUCUCUUAAGUUGAGCUCUACCUUGGCAUUUUAUCAC